GGGUUGUGAGGUUAAGCGACUAAGCGUACACGGUGGAUGCCCUGGCAGUCAGAGGCGAUGAAGGACGUGCUAAUCUGCGAUAAGCGUCGGUAAGGUGAUAUGAACCGUUAUAACCGGCGAUUUCCGAAUGGGGAAACCCAGUGUGUUUCGACACACUAUCAUUAACUGAAUCCAUAGGUUAAUGAGGCGAACCGGGGGAACUGAAACAUCUAAGUACCCCGAGGAAAAGAAAUCAACCGAGAUUCCCCCAGUAGCGGCGAGCGAACGGGGAGGAGCCCAGAGCCUGAAUCAGUGUGUGUGUUAGUGGAAGCGUCUGGAAAGGCGCGCGAUACAGGGUGACAGCCCCGUACACAAAAAUGCACAUGCUGUGAGCUCGAUGAGUAGGGCGGGACACGUGGUAUCCUGUCUGAAUAUGGGGGGACCAUCCUCCAAGGCUAAAUACUCCUGACUGACCGAUAGUGAACCAGUACCGUGAGGGAAAGGCGAAAAGAACCCCGGCGAGGGGAGUGAAAAAGAACCUGAAACCGUGUACGUACAAGCAGUGGGAGCAUGCUUAGGCGUGUGACUGCGUACCUUUUGUAUAAUGGGUCAGCGACUUAUAUUCUGUAGCAAGGUUAACCGAAUAGGGGAGCCGAAGGGAAACCGAGUCUUAACUGGGCGUUAAGUUGCAGGGUAUAGACCCGAAACCCGGUGAUCUAGCCAUGGGCAGGUUGAAGGUUGGGUAACACUAACUGGAGGACCGAACCGACUAAUGUUGAAAAAUUAGCGGAUGACUUGUGGCUGGGGGUGAAAGGCCAAUCAAACCGGGAGAUAGCUGGUUCUCCCCGAAAGCUAUUUAGGUAGCGCCUCGUGAACUCAUCUCCGGGGGUAGAGCACUGUUUCGGCAAGGGGGUCAUCCCGACUUACCAACCCGAUGCAAACUGCGAAUACCGGAGAAUGUUAUCACGGGAGACACACGGCGGGUGCUAACGUCCGUCGUGAAGAGGGAAACAACCCAGACCGCCAGCUAAGGUCCCAAAGUCAUGGUUAAGUGGGAAACGAUGUGGGAAGGCCCAGACAGCCAGGAUGUUGGCUUAGAAGCAGCCAUCAUUUAAAGAAAGCGUAAUAGCUCACUGGUCGAGUCGGCCUGCGCGGAAGAUGUAACGGGGCUAAACCAUGCACCGAAGCUGCGGCAGCGACGCUUAUGCGUUGUUGGGUAGGGGAGCGUUCUGUAAGCCUGUGAAGGUG
rnacentral:rRNA from 1 species